CAUCAAAGUAACAAAAUGAUUGCCAUUUUAAUUUUCUGUUGCCUUGCAGGUUUUUCUCUGGGGAUCGACAUCCACCAGUUUCCCUCGAACAUCGUCAGCAACACCAGUGAAGAUGUUCAGCUUUUCUGCUCACACAACCAGUCAUCGUACAGAGUCGUCCUCUGGUACCAGAAGACUCCUGGAGACCAGGCUCUGAACCUCAUCGGAUAUGGAUACGGACAGAUCAGCAACGACAGCGUGGAGGAAAAGUUCAGGAAACAUUUUCGGUUAGGUGGAGAUUUAGCGGCAGCCAAGAAGAACCUCUCUCUUUCCAUCGCCGGUCUGAAAGCCGAACACACGGCGACGUACUUCUGUGCUGCAAGCUCUGGUGGUGGAGCUGAAGCUUACUUCGGAGCGGGAACAAAGUUAACGGUUUUAGACAUAAACAUCGAAAUCACUCCCCCGACUGUGAAAGUUCUCCCACCUUCAGAAAAACAAUGCAAAGACAAAACAGGGAAGAAGAAGAAGACCCUGGUCUGUGUGGCCUCUGGUUUCUACCCAGACCAUGUCAGCGUGUCCUGGAAGCGCAACAACCUGGAAAUAAUUGAUGGUGUGUCGACCGACGCCGCCGCCAAGAAGGAUGGAGAUUAUUACAAAAUCACCAGCCGGCUGAUGGUCCCCAUCAGGGAUUGGCUUAAGCCGGACAUUGAAUUUAAGUGCAUCGUCAGCUUCUUUAAUGGGACCACUAACAUCGAAAGAAAUUAUAAUAUAACAACAAAAGCUGCAGAUAAUCCAGGCAUGACUCGAGAGAACUACAUAAAGAUCAGCCAGAACGCCAAACUGUCCUACAGCCUCCUGAUCGUGAAGAGCUGCCUCUACGCCGCCUUGGUCUGCCUUCUGGUCUGGAAGCUUCAGGGAAAACGUGGAAAGCAGACCAAGUGAGAGCAGAGCUGACGCUGUGAAUCUUCCUCCUUGUACAUAAUAAUCCUGAUCUGCUGU